rnacentral:rRNA from 1 species
AUUGACCGCUGGCGGCAGGCCUAACACAUGCAAGUCGAACGAGUGGCGGACGUGUGAGUAAUGUCUGGGAAACUGCCCGAUGGAGGGGGAUAACUACUGGAAACGGUAGCUAAUACCGCAUACCAUCGGAUGAGCCCCGAUGGGAGUAGCUAGUAGGUGGGGUAACGGCUCACCUAGGCGACGAUCCCUAGCUGGUCUGAGAGGAUGACCAGCCACACUGGAACUGAGACACGGUCCAGACUCCUACGGGAGGCAGCAGUGGGGAAGAUUGCACAAUGGGCGCAAGCCUGAUGCAGCCAUGCCGCGUGUAUGAAGAAGGCCUUAGGGUUGUAAAGUACUUUCAGCGAGGAGGCGUUACGCGCAGAAGAAGCACCGGCUAACUCCGUGCCAGCAGCCGCGGUAAUUC